rnacentral:rRNA from 1 species
CCUACGGGUGGCAGCAGUGAGGAAUAUUGGUCAAUGGUCGGGAGACUGAACCAGCCAAGCCGCGUGAGGGAUGAAGGUACAGAGUAUCGUAAACCUCUUUUGUCAGGGAACAAAGGCGGGGACGUGUCCCCGGAUGAGUGUACCUGAAGAAAAAGCAUCGGCUAACCCCGUGCCAGCAGCCGCGGUAAUACGGGGGAUGCGAGCGUUAUCCGGAUUUAUGGGGUUAAAAGGGUGAGAGGGGGGGCUGUUAAGUCAGCGGUAAAACCCCGGGGCUCAACCCCGGCCCGCCGUUGAAACUGGCAGUCUAGAGUUGGAGAGAAGUAUGCGGAAUGCGCGGUGUAGCGGUGAAAUGCAUAGAUAUCGCGCAGAACUCCGAUUGCGAAGGCAGCAUGCCGGCUCCACACUGACGCUGAGGCACGAAAGCGUGGGUAUCGAACAGGAUUAGAUACCCUUGUAGUC